CCCUUAGAUGUUCUGGGCCGCACGCGCGCUACACUGAUGCAUUCAUCGAGUUUACAACCUUGAUCGAUAGGUCUGGGUAAUCUUUUAAAUGUGCAUCGUGCUAGGGAUAGAUUAUUGCAAUUAUUAAUCUUGAACGAGGAAUUCCUAGUAAACGCAAGUCAUCAGCUUGCAUUGAUUACGUCCCUGCCCUUUGUACACACCGCCCGUCGCACCUACUGAUUGGAUGACUCGGCGAAAAAUUGGGACUGUGAAGAACACUGCUUAAUUGCGGCGUUUUUUAUGGGAACUUUUUUAAACCUCGUUAUCUAGAAGAAGGUGAAGUCGUAACA
rnacentral:rRNA from 1 species